UAGGGAAUAUUGGGCAAUGGAGGCAACUCUGACCCAGCUAUGCCGCGUGAAGGAAGAAGGCGUUAUGCGUUGUAAACUUCUUUUAUAUGGGAAGAAACGACCCUUGCGAGGGGCAUUGACGGUACCAUAUGAAUAAGCACCGGCUAACUCCGUGCCAGCAGCCGCGGUAAUACGGAGGGUGCAAGCGUUGUCCGGAUUUAUUGGGUUUAAAGGGUGCGUAGGCGGCUCUUUAAGUCAGCGGUGAAAGUCCAGAGCUCAACUCUGGGAUUGCCAUUGAUACUGAAGAGCUUGAGUAUAGUUGAGGUAGGCGGAAUUGACAGA
rnacentral:rRNA from 1 species